UUUUAACUGUUUUUUGACACGUGCUAAAAAAUGCAGCACCUGGUUACAAGGGCUUAUUUGACAAAUUAUCAUCUUUCGUAAUCUAAGUUAUAAAAUCUAAAUUUUAAGUGAUCUAAAAUGUUCAUGACUAACGAGUAUUUUCACUUGUACGAUUUUUCUGUGAAAUGAGUCUAAGAGUAUAUACAUGUAUAUCAGGAUACUGACUGCAUAGUAAAAUAUUUAUGUACCAUUAGUUGCGACUCAUUUUGGUCUUUUAAGUAAGUUUCCUUCCCCUGCAUUACUUGAUCGCUUUUGUAAAAAAUAAACAGCACAACAACAACAGCACUCGACGUCAGUAUUGUACCAAAAAAUGAAAAAAAUAUUCAAAAAGAAGGCUCAUAAAAUUCAAAUAUUGGACAAGAACUAUAGAAGAUGCAGAGAAAUUAUAAACAGCAGAAAUGAUAGGCAAUUUAAAAUUUGCAGAUGUCAACAAAACCUAAAUGGUGAUCAGACAUCUUGGUUUUCAUGAUCAAUAGGUCAAUACUGAAGAGGAAACUGAAAGUUGAUAUCUAUCUACAUGGUGCGCUAAUUGGAUUAAUGUGAAAUGGAAUGUGUGCUUUCCUGCAAAAAAGAAAUAGGAAAUUUCAUCAUAAUCACAUGAUAAUGGCUAUAAACAAAAUGGAGUUCUAUCAUAGAUGCAGAAAAACACAAUUGUAUAAAUGCAACAACAUA